UACGGGGGGGGCAAGCGUUGUUCGGAAUUACUGGGCGUAAAGGGCUCGUAGGCGGCCAACUAAGUCGGAUGUGAAAUCCCCAGGCUCAACUUGGGAACUGCAUCCGAUACUGGAUGGCUUGAAUUCGGGAGAGGGAUGCAGAAUUCCAGGUGUAGCGGUGAAAUGCGUAGAUAUCUGGAGGAAUACCGGUGGCGAAGGCGGCAUCCUGGACCGACAUUGACGCUGAGUAGCGAAAGCUAUGGGAGCAAACGGG
rnacentral:rRNA from 1 species